rnacentral:rRNA from 1 species
UACGAAGGGGGCUAGCGUUGCUCGGAAUCACUGGGCGUAAAGCGCACGUAGGCGGAUUGUUAAGUCAGGGGUGAAAUCCUGGAGCUCAACUCCAGAACUGCCUUUGAUACUGGCAAUCUCGAGUUCGGGAGAGGUGAGUGGAACUGCGAGUGUAGAGGUGAAAUUCGUAGAUAUUCGCAAGAACACCAGUGGCGAAGGCGGCUCACUGGCCCGAUACUGACGCUGAGACGCGAAAGCUAGGGGAGCGAACAGG